CACGUAGGGGGCAAGCGUUGUCCGGAUUUAUUGGGCGUAAAGAGCUCGUAGGUGGUUCGGUAAGUCGGGUGUUAAACCCCCAGGCUCAACCUGGGGACGCCACUCGAUACUGCUGUGACUAGAGUCCGGUAGGGGAGCGUGGAAUUCCUGGUGUAGCGGUGAAAUGCGCAGAUAUCAGGAAGAACACCUAUGGCGAAAGCAGCUCUCUGGGACGGUACUGACGCUGAGACGCGAAAGCGUGGGGAGCGAACAGG
rnacentral:rRNA from 1 species